rnacentral:rRNA from 1 species
GAUGAACGCUGGCGGCGUGCCUAAUACAUGCCAGUCGAGCGAACAGACGAGGAGCUUGCUCCUCUGACGUUAGCGGCGGACGGGUGAGUAACACGUGGAUAACCUACCUAUAAGACUGGGAUAACUUCGGGAAACCGGCGCUAAUACCGGAUAAUAUAUUGAACCGCAUGGUUCAAUAGUGAAAGACGGUUUUGCUGUCACUUAUAGCUGGAUCCGCGCCGCAUUAGCUAGUUGGUAAGGUAACGGCUUACCAAGGCAACGAUGCGUAGCCGACCGCAGAGGGUGAUCGGCCACCCUGGAACUGAGCCACGGUCCAGACUCCUACGGGAGGCAGCAGUAGGGAAUCUUCCGCAGUGGGCGAAAGCUUGACGGAGCAACGGCGCGUGAGUGAUGAAGGUCUUCGGAUCGUAAAACUCUGUUAUUAGGGAAGAACAAAUGUGUAAGUAACUAUGCACGUCUUGACGGUACCUAAUCAGAAAGCCACGGCUAACUACGUG